rfam:Clostridium sp. 7_2_43FAA genomic scaffold supercont2.3, whole genome shotgun sequence.
UUUAAGUGCUAGGGGUGCCUUAUGGCUGAGAAAUGAUAAUUCAUUAACCCUCUUUACCUGAUCUGGAUAAUACCAGCGUAGGAAAGUCACGAUGUACUUUU